GGGGGGAGCGCCGGGUCCUAGGCUGUGUCCCCCAGCACCCUGGGCUCGGGGGCCUGCGCUGCUGGAAUCCGCUCCCGGCUGCGCAGCCCCCU
rnacentral:pre_miRNA from 1 species